CAUUAAGUGGCCCAGACCCGAAUACAUAUACAAAACAAAACAAAAUGACCAAAUAGGAAAGUGGACAGUCUCUUUCCUUUGUUGCGUCUUCAUCUAUGAUACAACACUUCGAUAUCUCCGAUGAAAUUUCGACCUAAGCUCUUCAGUUUCUUCUACAAGCAAUGAUGAGAUUAUUCUGAGGUUGAGCUCAGCGAAGGAUCUAAUACCACUGUCCUAAAACCCAAAUCUAGUAUUAAUCUAAAUAAACCAGAUUUAUCUUAUUUGAGCUCAGCCGACGUAUGAUGCCUAUUGAGUUCGCAUGUUUUGGUACUCACACUAUACUUUUAUAUCUGUUUUCCUAAUGUAGAUCCUAAUAUGAGUCAUCACUGCUGACACUUUUCCUUAUUUAGAGUUUCUAAUUAGAGUAUAGGGUGAGCAAUUGGUGAUCGGGGCUGAUCCAUAUCCUUCUAUUUUG